rnacentral:rRNA from 1 species
GACGAACGCUGGCGGCGUGCUUAACACAUGCAAGUCGAACGAAGCGUGGUGACGGAUUCUUCGGAUGAGGUAGGAGAUGACGGAGGGGCGGACGGGGGAGAAACGCGUGAGUAAACUGCCCUACAGAGGGGGAUAGCGUGCUGAAACGAACGGUAAUACCGCAUAAUGUAUUUUGACCGCGUGAGCGAAAUACGAAAGCUUUAAUGGUGAAGGAUGGACUGGCGUCUGAUUAGGUAGUGGGAGGGGCAAAGGCCUACCAAGCCGAUGAUCAGACACCGGACUGCGAGGUUGCUCGGCCACAUUGGGACUGAGACACGGCCCAGACUCCUUCGGGAGUCAGCAGAGGGGAAUCUGGCACAAUGGGCGCGAGCCUGAUGCAGCAACGCCGCGUGAAAGAAGACUGUUUUCGGAUUGUAAACUUCUGUUCUUAGUGAAGCAUAAUGACGGUAGCUAAGGAGAAAGCCACGGCUAACUACGUG